CCUACGGGUGGCAGCAGUGAGGAAUAUUGGUCAAUGGGCGCAAGCCUGAACCAGCCAAGUCGCGUGAGGGAUGACGGCCCUACGGGUUGUAAACUGCUUUUAUACGGGAAUAACGCGCCUUACGUGUAGGGCUUUGCAUGUACCGUAUGAAUAAGGACCGGCUAAUUCCGUGCCAGCAGCCGCGGUAAUACGGAAGGUCCGGUCGUUAUCCGGAUGUAUUGGGUUUAAGGGGAGCGUAGGCCGCAUGUCAAGCGUGCUGUGAAAUGUCCGGGCUCAACCCGGGCCUUGCAGAGCGAACUGGCGUGCUUGAGUCCGCGGAAAGCAGGCGGAAUUCGUCGUGUAGCGGUGAAAUGCUUAGAUAUGACGAAGAACCCCGAUUGCGAAGGCAGCUUGCUGCAGCGGAACUGACGCUGAUGCUCGAAAGCGCGGGUAUCGAACAGGAUUAGAUACCCUGGUAGUC
rnacentral:rRNA from 1 species